rnacentral:rRNA from 1 species
AGCGAACGCUGGCGGCAGGCCUAACACAUGCAAGUCGAACGAACUCUUCGGAGUUAGUGGCGGACGGGUGAGUAACACGUGGGAACGUGCCUUUAGGUUCGGAAUAACUCAGGGAAACUUGUGCUAAUACCGAAUGUGCCCUUCGGGGGAAAGAUUUAUCGCCUUUAGAGCGGCCCGCGUCUGAUUAGCUAGUUGGUGAGGUAAAGGCUCACCAAGGCGACGAUCAGUAGCUGGUCUGAGAGGAUGAUCAGCCACAUUGGGACUGAGACACGGCCCAAACUCCUGCGGGAGGCAGCAGUGGGGAAUCUUGCGCAAUGGGCGAAAGCCUGACGCAGCCAUGCCGCGUGAAUGAUGAAGGUCUUAGGAUUGUAAAAUUCUUUCACCGGGGACGAUAAUGACGGUACCCGGAGAAGAAGCCCCGGCUAACUUCGUG